UCAUCGCUGAUCCCACUGCCCUUUCCAGCUAUUUUAUUUUGUGCUGGUCAGCAAGAAAAUAGGUGGAUGUUCUCCUCCAGAGGACAUCUUGUAACAAUGCCUGGAUCAACGAUGAGUCAACGACAAAAGACAGGCAACAUAUUGAUUAGCCACCCCGGACAGCGCCUCCAGCACCGAACUCUUCCCGGAGCUCUGGUCCCCUAUCACGGCUAUGGCAGGCAGCGCCAGGUCCUU